rnacentral:rRNA from 1 species
CACCGCGGUUAUACGAGUGACCCUAAUUAACACUUCCCCGGCGUAAAGAGUGGUUUAAGAAAAAUCUCCAAAUAAUUAAAGUUAAAACCCCAUUAAGCUGUUAUACGCUCUCAUGGGUGGAAUCAUCAACAACGAAAGUAAUUUUAUAUCAUCAGACCUCUUGAUGCCACGAUAGUUGGGCCC